rnacentral:rRNA from 1 species
CGCGUAGGCGGUUUUUUAAGUGAGGCGUGAAAGCCCUGGGCUUAACCCAGGAGGUGCGUUUCAUACUGGAAGACUUGAGUGCGAGAGAGGAAAGUGGAAUUCCUAGUGUAGAGGUGAAAUUCGUAGAUAUUAGGAAGAACACCUGUGGCGAAGGCGGCUUUCUGGCUCGCAACUGACGCUGAGGCGCGAAAGCGUGGGGAGCAAACAGGAUUAGAUACCCUGGUAGUCCACGCUGUAAACGAUGUGUGCUAGACGUUGGAGGGGAACCUUCAGUGUCGCAGCUAACGCGUUAAGCACACCGCCUGGGGAGUACGGUCGCAAGAUUAAA